rnacentral:lncRNA from 1 species
UUGUGUGUGUCUGCACGAGGAACCAGAUGUUAUAGUCUGACCUAGCAUUCAAGAUUAUGGAAUUACUUUUUUCCCUUCCCAAGUUGAGGAGUUUGUUAUGAUGAGUGGUUGGUUGGGAGAACUUAACUUUGUUUGGAUAUGAUUUCUAUAAUCUUUUGUUAUGAUGUUUUUAUUUGUGAUUUAUGAUGAUUAUGAUUAUGAUUCAUACUCCUAAAAGGAUAUCCUCUCUGUUUCAGUGGCCCAAAGACUCAUCGUCUGUAUUAGGAUGAAACCAAAAUUAUCAUUAUAUUAUCUUUCUGAGUUGGAUAGAAACUUGUUCCAAUGAAUCCUCAUGUUUUG